CAUGUCCUUUUGGUUAUAAUUUAAGGUCUAGUCUGCCCAAUGAUUAAUAUUUUAAAUGGCUGCAGUAUAUUAACUGUACAAAGGUAGCAUAAUCAUUAGUUUUUUAAUUGAAAACUGGUAUGAAUGGCUGGAUGAGAAAACUUCUGUCUCAAUUUAAUUUAUUUUGAAUUUUAUUUUUGAGUUAAAAAGCUCAAAUUUUUUAAUAAGACGAGAAGACCCUUUAGAGUUUAAUAUAUAAUUGUAUAUUUUUAAUUAAGUAUUUAUUUAUUUUAUAUUUUUAUAUAUUUUGUUGGGGUGACAAUAAAAUUUAUUUAACUUUUAUUAUUUAUUUAUCACUAAUGAGUGUUUAUUUGAUCCUAUUUUUUAGAUUAAAAGAAAAAAUUACCUAAGGGAUAACAGCGUAAUUUUUCUUGAGAGUUCUAAUCGAAAGAAGAGAUUGCGACCUCGAUGUUGGAUUAAAAUUUAUGUUUGGUGCAGUAGCUAAACAAUUAGGUCUGUUCGACCUUUAAAAUUUUACAUGAUCUGAGU
rnacentral:rRNA from 1 species